rnacentral:rRNA from 1 species
GAUGAACGCUAGCGGCAGGCUUAACACAUGCAAGUCGAGGGGUAUAGUUCUUCGGAACUAGAGACCGGCGCACGGGUGCGUAACGCGUAUGCAAUCUACCUUUCACAAAGGGAUAGCCCAGAGAAAUUUGGAUUAAUACCUUAUAGUAAUACGACUUGGCAUCAAGAUGUAUUUAAAGAUUUAUCGGUGAAAGAUGAGCAUGCGUCCAUUAGCUUGUUGGUAAGGUAACGGCUUACCAAGGCAACGAUGGGUAGGGGUCCUGAGAGGGAGAUCCCCCACACUGGUACUGAGACACGGACCAGACUCCUACGGAGGCAGCAGUGAGGAAUAUUGGACAAUGGGCGCAAGCCUGAUCCAGCCAUGCCGCGUGCAGGAUGACGGUCCUAUGGAUU